rnacentral:lncRNA from 1 species
AUUCAACAUACUAUGUUUCCUGCUAUAAAGUGUCUGUAUUUUUUUCUAUAUCUCACUCUUUCUUUGUGGAUUUAACUAAUAUUAUCUCUCUUUAUUUCCCCUGUCCCUUUCUUCCUGCUUUUAGUGGAAUGGAUUCUUCAAAACCUUUACUAGCUCAUAGCCAAAAAGCUGACCUCGUUGCUCCCUUUGAGACAUUCUACUCACCCACAGGGUUAUGGAAGAGAUAUUUUGCCUUGCAAAGUAAUUGAUCAGAGGUGAAGAUGAUGUCACAAGAAUAGAAAAAUCAUAAAGAGGAAAAUGAGUUAAGAAAAAAAUCUCUGGUGCUCUUAUAUAUGAAGUAGGAGAACCGGAAAGCAAAAUAGUAUAUUCAAGAAAUUUAAAAUGUGUGGACAUUAAAAAAAAAUUGCUGCUAUGCUAUUGCAGUUGUAACUUUGGUAAAGAACACAAUAAAUUACAUUUAGGUUACA